AUACGGAGGAUCCGAGCGUUAUCCGGAUUUAUUGGGUUUAAAGGGAGCGUAGGCGGACUAUUAAGUCAGCGGUUAAAUCGUGGGGCUCAACCCCAUUCUGCCGUUGAUACUGGGUGGCUUGAUUGCGGUCGAGGUUGGCGGAAUUCGUUGUGUAGCGGUGAAAUGCAUAGAUAUGACGAAGAACACCGAUUGCGUAGGCAGCUGACCAGACCGCAAAUGACGCUCAUGCACGAAAGUGCGGGGAUCGAACAGGAUUAGAUACCCUGGUAGUCCGCACAGUAAACGAUGAAUACUUGUUUUCGGCGAUAUAAUGUCGGAGGCAAAGCGAAAGCGAUAAGUAUUCCACCUGGGGAGUACGCCGGCAACGGUGAAACUCAAAUGAAUUGGCGGG
rnacentral:rRNA from 1 species